AGGAGAUGGGCCGGUAAUCUGUUAUCUUCGACGCUCCUGGAUGCUUCGGGACGAGGGAGAGUAUAGUGGAGUUUGUGGCUAAAGGCAUGAAGGAGGUGAGGAAAAAUUGGCGAACGGAGUUGACAACUUCAGAGCCCAAGAUAUCCCAAGAAGAUUUAUAAAAACCCGAGGUAUUGAAGUCAUGAGAAGGCUCUCAGUAGGGGAGCAUGAGUAGGGGACCAGAGAGUUGAACCAAGCUGGUGGAGAGUUAAUUCCCAUCAUAGGAGUAGGGCAAGGCCCAAGGAUGCUGGUAAAGUGUUGAAUCGCAUGCGAAGACAUGUCGAGUGGAUCUGAUAAGAUGACGCCAGAGGAGAGGAGGAAGGAUGUGAUGGUGUUGUAGUUGAGCCGUGUUUGUACGAUCCGGAAGAAGAAAUGCCAGCGUUGAG